GCUAGAUUCAUUCUCAGAAGAUGAUAAUUCCUUGGUUAUGCAUACUAUCGAGUUACAUCACAAUUCAUUGCUGAAUUUACAUCAAUACUACUUUGUUGAAUACAAUUGUUAUUUACCACGUCCAUGGGAUUAUGUUCGAACUUGCCUCUUACCGCGGACAUCUAUACUAUCAAUACUUCUCAACAUCUCGUUGAACAGGUAUACUCUGUCAUUCAUUAGUUUCAGAUAUCAUUUAGUUACUUCUGUCAUUCCACCCCUUAAUGCACUAAUAUGUUGUUUUCUGAGUGAUCCCACUUCAUUACUUAUGCAAGGUUCUCUAACUUUAGAGCGUUAUCCAGUUUGUCAGCUUACCUAAAUGUGCGAUUUCUCAAAAGCUGAAUAGCAAGGCCUACUUCCAAUUUCAUU
rnacentral:misc_RNA from 1 species